CUACUUCAGCAACACAAAUACUAAAAUUGGAGUGAUGCAGAGAUUAGCAUGGCCCCUGUACAAGGACACACAAAUUCAUCAAGGAGCCCAUGUUAUU
rnacentral:snRNA from 1 species